GGACGCAUAGCUCAGCUGGUUAGAGCGUUCGCCUCACACGCGAGAGGUCGAGGGUUCGAGUCCCCCUGCGUCCACCA
rnacentral:tRNA from 5 species